GGGUAGAACAUUUAACAGUUAACAUUAAAUAAUGUAGAGGAGGCCGCAACAGCAGCACUGAUAUAACGAGAUAACCAUCUAACUAGAAAGCAGCCAAUGGGUGACUGUCUAAAUAUUUAAAACACAGCUCUUGCUUAAUCAUCCUUUCAUGUGAUCACCUUUUGCUGGUUGCAUGGAAAUAUAUUAAGGCCAAAUCUUCUGAUAUCCAUUCCCAGAGGUUUCUUUUAACUGGAUUAAACCUCCAAUUCCAAGUCAAGCCCAAGUUUGUGGCCUCCAGCAUUAAAGCUCUUCCCAUAUACCAGAGCAGACGGUGUAAGCUUCACACCAGGCCUCAGAGUCUGAGCAUAGCCCACUCCAAUUAAACUAGAGUUGUUGACCUUUGCAGAAAUAGAAGCAGUGGGGUCCAACUGGUAUUUAGCUAUAAUGUCAAAACGAGUGCAGUUGGUACCUGAUGUCCAAGCAAGGUUUACUGAAGUGUCAAAAUCUUCACAUACUUUCUGAUAAAUUGAUCCUCCAAAUUCUGUCCCAUUAUUUACAUUUGUGUGUAGCUGGAAGUCUCCAGUCCUGUAGCAGACUGCGAAGUUGUUCCUUGUCAGCUUUGACUUGGCACUGUCAAAGGUCAUUUGGUACCCAGCAAGCCAGCCCUUGUAACCAAAGACCCAUGAAUGGCAUGUCCAGCAAAAUCGAAAUCAAAAUCAACAUCAUAGCCAAGGUUUAUACAUUCUCUUUUGUAAGCAGACUUGAUUUUACCACUUUUCUUUCCUGUGUUCGGUGAAAACAUGGUGUCAAAGGUCAGUUUCAAACCUUGACAAAUCUGGUUUUCAAUUGCAAUCUCUGUCCCCAGAGUGUUGUUGGUGUUCCAUUUCUCUGUGAAAGUCAGAGCAUACCCACACCAUUUGUACUUGGUCUCCAAGGUCCCACUGACUUUACCAGUGUCUGUAUUAGAUGAGCCAGAUAUUGAAAAUUCCCCACCACUGCAUGACAUCGUUUUCACAUCCAGCUUUACCAACCCCAAACCAAAUCCUUUGUUGAAAAUAUCCCUGGCAGCUUUGCCAAGGUCAGCGUAGGGUGGAGGGAUACACAUUGGCCGUGGGCAUACCAGUACACAACACUCAGCCAUGGCGAAGUCUCGGGGAAAAGGUGAUCUGCUGGUGUCCUGAAGGGCGCUGCUGCCACCGCUCGGCUCGCAGCUGAGGCCACUCCGCUAUCUGGAAGUUGUGCUGCUGCCACCACGGCUGGA
rnacentral:lncRNA from 1 species